rnacentral:rRNA from 1 species
UACGUAGGAGGCGAGCGUUGUCCGGAAUUACUGGGUGUACAGCGCGUGUAGGCGGCCUGCCAAGUCUGCUGUGAAAGCGCCUGGCUUAACCGGGCGAGGUCGGUGGAAACUGGCGGGCUGGAGGCCGGUAGAGGGGGGUGGAAUUCCCGGUGUAGUGGUGAAAUGCGUAGAGAUCGGGAGGAACACCAGUGGCGAAGGCGGCCCCCUGGGCCGGGCCUGACGCUGAGACGCGAAAGCGCGGGGAGCGAACGGG